rnacentral:rRNA from 3 species
GUCGAACGAAAUCUUCGGAUUUAGUGGCGGACGGGUGAGUAACGCGUGAGAAUCUGGCUUCAGGUCUGGGACAACCACUGGAAACGGUGGCUAAUACCGGAUGUGCCGAAAGGUGAAAGGUUAACUGCCUGAAGAUGAGCUCGCGUCUGAUUAGCUAGUUGGAAGUGUAAUGGACUCCCAAGGCGACGAUCAGUAGCUGGUCUGAGAGGACGAUCAGCCACACUGGGACUGAGACACGGCCCAGACUCCUACGGGAGGCAGCAGUGGGGAAUUUUCCGCAAUGGGCGAAAGCCUGACGGAGCAAUACCGCGUGAGGGAGGAAGGCUCUUGGGUCGUAAACCUCUUUUCUCAGGGAAGAACACAAUGACGGUACCUGAGGAAUAAGCAUCGGCUAACUCCGUGCCAGCAGCCGCGGUAAUACGGAGGAUGCAAGCGUUAUCCGGAAUGAUUGGGCGUAAAGCGUCCGCAGGUGGCAAUGUAAGUCUGCUGUUAAAGAGUCUAGCUCAACUAGAUAAGAGCAGUGGAAACUACAUAGCUAGAGUACGUUCGGGGCAGAGGGAAUUCCUGGUGUAGCGGUGAAAUGCGUAGAGAUCAGGAAGAACACCAGUGGCGAAGGCGCUCUGCUAGGCCGUAACUGACACUGAGGGACGAAAGCUAGGGGAGCGAAUGGGAUUAGAUACCCCAGUAGUCCUAGCCGUAAACGAUGGAUACUAGGCGUG